GGUGAACGCUGGCGGGCGUGCCUAACACAUGCAAGUCGAGCGGUGCAGUUUGAAGCUUCGGUGGAAAGCUGCAUAGCGGCGGACGGGUGAGGAAAACGUAGGAACGUGCCCCUUGGAGUUGGAUAGCCACGGGAAACUGUGGGUAAACCGACAUAGACUCGAGAGAGUAAAGGCCGAAAGGCGCCAAGGGAGCGGCCUGCGGCCCAUCAGGUAGUUGGUAGUGUAAAGGACUACCAAGCCGACGACGGGUAGCCGGUCUGAGAGGAUGGCCGGCCACAAGGGCACUGAGAGACGGGCCCUACUCCUACGGGAGGCAGCAGUGGGGGAUUUUGGACAAUGGGCGAAAGCCUGAUCCAGCGACGCCGCGUGGAGGACGAAGCCCUUCGGGGUGUAAACUCCUUUUCUCAGGGAAAAAGGAUGAUGGUACCUGAGGAAUAAGCCCCGGCUAACUACGUG
rnacentral:rRNA from 1 species